AACUAAACAGUAUUUGAUUCACUUUCCCUCAAAUUCUUUACGACCAUUUUCUCUUCUCUUUUCUUUUUGUUUUUUAUUUCUUUUCAUUUGUUUUCCUGAAGGAAUACGAUAGGAACAUGAAUUUUCUUCCUUUUUUUCUUCGUUUUUUUCUUUCUUUCGUCUGCAAAGUUUUAAAAUAUCACAAAUAUAAUAAUUCAACCCCACACAAACUCCAAACAAGAAUCACUCAUCCCCUCAAAUAGGGUAUACCAUUAUUUUUCACCUUUA
rnacentral:lncRNA from 1 species